UUUAUUGGAGAGUUUGAUCCUGGCUCAGGAUGAACGCUGGCGGCGUGCCUAAUACAUGCAAGUCGAGCGAAUGGAUUAAGAGCUUGCUCUUAUGAAGUUAGCGGCGGACGGGUGAGUAACACGUGGGUAACCUGCCCAUAAGACUGGGAUAACUCCGGGAAACCGGGGCUAAUACCGGAUAACAUUUUGAACUGCAUGGUUCGAAAUUGAAAGGCGGCUUCGGCUGUCACUUAUGGAUGGACCCGCGUCGCAUUAGCUAGUUGGUGAGGUAACGGCUCACCAAGGCAACGAUGCGUAGCCGACCUGAGAGGGUGAUCGGCCACACUGGGA
rnacentral:rRNA from 1 species